AUACGGAGGGGGUUAGCGUUGUUCGGAAUUACUGGGCGUAAAGCGCACGUAGGCGGAUUGGAAAGUUGGGGGUGAAAUCCCAGGGCUCAACCCUGGAACUGCCUCCAAAACUAACAGUCUAGAGUUCGAGAGAGGUGAGUGGAAUUCCAAGUGUAGAGGUGAAAUUCGUAGAUAUUUGGAGGAACACCAGUGGCGAAGGCGGCUCACUGGCUCGAUACUGACGCUGAGGUACGAAAGUGUGGGGAGCAAACAGGAUUAGAAACCCGGGUAGUCC
rnacentral:rRNA from 1 species